rfam:Candida tropicalis MYA-3404 mitochondrial scaffold supercont3.24, whole genome shotgun sequence.
GCCUCUGUAGCUCAAUGGUAGAGCAAUCGCUUGAAGCGUGAUCCGUCUGAGUUCAACUCUCAGCAUAGGCA